UAGGGAAUCUUCCGCAAUGGGCGAAAGCCUGACGGAGCAACGCCGCGUGAGUGAUGAAGGUCUUCGGAUCGUAAAACUCUGUUAUUAGGGAAGAACAAAUGUGUAAGUAACUAUGCACGUCUUGACGGUACCUAAUCAGAAAGCCACGGCUAACUACGUGCCAGCAGCCGCGGUAAUACGUAGGUGGCAAGUGUUAUCCGGAAUUAUUGGGCGUAAAGCGCGCGUAGGCGGUUUUUUAAGUCUGAUGUGAAAGCCCACGGCUCAACCGUGGAGGGUCAUUGGAAACUGGAAAACUUGAGUGCAGAAGAGGAAAGUGGAAUUCCAUGUGUAGCGGUGAAAUGCGCCGAGAUAUGGAGUAACACCAGUGGCGAAGGCGACUUUCUGGUCUGUAACUGACGCUGAUGUGCGAAAGCGUGGGGAUCAAACAGG
rnacentral:rRNA from 1 species